GGUUCCUGACCAAGAUACUUCUACAUACCUAAAAGGCUUUAAAAAAUUAUGCCCAUCACCAUCAGUCACUGUUACCAGGGCCAGUGCCUCAUCUGGACUCUCAUCUUAUAGGACGAACAUGAACACAGGAGCACCAGGAUUUGGGCCUACGCUAGGGUGGCUUGAAGCCUCCUGUCCUGAUGAAUAGGGACUAUGAUCCAGAGGAAUCGAAGACUCAGGAAUACAGUGCGUCUGGAGAAGGAUCACAUUAAGAAAAUGAUAACACCGAGAUCUAAAAAUGGUAACUUAUAAACAACAGAAAAGGAGGGUCUGUAAAAACAAGGCUGGUUCUUUCAAUGUAAUCAAAUAGAGAUGCUUCUCACAAAACUCAAUAAAGAAACAAGAGCCA
rnacentral:lncRNA from 1 species